rnacentral:rRNA from 1 species
CCGGCGCACGGGUGAGUAACGCGUAUGCAACCUGCCUAUAAGAAGGGGAUAGCCUCUCGAAAGAGAGAUUAAUACCGUAUGACACUAUGAGAUCGCAUGGUUUUAUAGUUAAAGAUUUAUUGCUUAUAGAUGGGCAUGCGUAACAUUAGCUAGUUGGUAAGGUAACGGCUUACCAAGGCAACGAUGUUUAGGGGUUCUGAGAGGAAGGUCCCCCACACUGGUACUGAGGCACGGACCAGACUCCUACGGGAGGCAGCAGUGAGGAAUAUUGGUCAAUGGACGAGAGUCUGAACCAGCCAAGUCGCGUGAAGGAUGAAGGUCUUAUGGAUUGUAAACUUCUUUUAUACGGGAAUAAAAAGAGCCACGUGUGGCUUAUUGCAUGUACCGUACGAAUAAGGAUCGGCUAACUCCGUGCCAGCAGCCGCGGUAAUACGGAGGAUCCAAGCGUUAUCCGGAUUUAUUGGGUUUAAAGGGUGCGUAGGCGGUCAUUUAAGUCAGCGUUGAAAGUUUUCGGCUCAACCGGAAAAUUGGCAUUGAAACUGGAUGACUUGAGUGUAAAUGAAGUGGGCGGAAUUCGUUGUGUAGCGGUGAAAUGCAUAGAUAUAACGAAGAACUCCGAUUGCGAAGGCAGCUCACUAACAUACAACUGACGCUGAGGCACGAAAGCGUGGGGAUCAAACAGGAUUAGAUACCCUGGUAGUCCAC